AGAAUAAAUAACAAAAACGAAAAGAAAAGGAACAACAACACCUGGGCUGGAAGUAGAAACUUGCUGCUUGAUAAUUUGAUGGCCGAACAAAAAGCCAUGAAGAGCCCACGUAAACAAAGAAUGCACCAGCCCAUUUCAUCGAGAACCCAGGUAAUACACAUGCCUUUGUCUGCCAUCGCCAUACCGCGAGCCCAGAGCCGAACGCUCCUCCACUCAUUUUCUUUCAUUGCUCUUCCUUUCAUAAAAACCUUGGUUGCUGCAAUCAAAACCAAAGCUUCCUCUCUAGAACUCUCAGAUCCGAGCCACAACCCCCAAACUUAAUCUCAACUCCUCCCCAGCCCCUGUUCUCUCAUCUUCGUUGAUUCUCAGCAGAUUUCCUGUACCAUUCCGACGCCACAGAGGAAUCUCUUUUGGUAAAUGAAGAGACCGUGAAAAAUGAAGGAAUGACGGAAAAUCAUAGAUCCAACGGUCAAAAUUGGGAGCGGAGAUAUCAAAAACCUGCGGAUCCGAGAUUAUAAGGUUGAAUGUCUUGACGAAAGAUUGGGCUGCUGUUAAGCUUUUUCUUCUUCCCGUUGUAGAAUGUAGCCUGCUGGAUGGACCUGACCUGCCCAGAUUUGCUUUAAAUUUGAUGCCGUGUAUGUGCUGUCAUGUGAAUUUCCAGAUUCUGAUUUGUUAUAAACAACCCCUUGCAACACGUCAGUUAUGAUGAAUUCCGGCAGCCUCGUUUGUUUCUUUGUAGCCUCUUGAUGUGGUAUGUGUGGCAUAUAAACUUGGGCAGUAAAUGGUUCUGUGGGAAUUUCAGGAUCAGCAUGUGCUUUGUCCUCCAUUGGGCACGAGUAACUGGUAGAUUGCUCUUCAAUUCUGGCGUUUUCCUGCAUGUACUCAUAUCUCGUUGCACAUUGGGGUGUCUGAAUUACACACCAUUCCUUUGAA